GUCCUUGAAAAUAUAUAUAAUACUGGUCCCUUAAACUCCAUGAGGCUUUGUCUCAUUAUGUAUUGUUCUUUUGGUACCCUUUCCCACUUAACUUACCUUUUGCUCCUAAGUCCUAUAAAAUACCCCUUGGAUCUGGAUUUUUUAUACCCGAUUUUCUCCACUGUGUAUAAAAGGUAUAUUGUGACUGUAAAUUUUUGUAAAUCAUAUUCUGAGAGCUUCUUACUUUCUGAUCUCAUAGCACUAUUCCUGAUCAGAGAACUCCAGUUGCUUCAACACACAGUAUUAGUAGUGCAGCCACCCCGGAUCGAAUCCGUUUCCCAAGAGGCACUGCCAGUCGUAGCACUUUCCACGGCCAGCCCCGGGAACGGCGAACCGCAACAUAUAAUGGCCCUCCUGCCUCUCCCAGCCUGUCCCAUGAAGCCACACCGUUGUCCCAGACUCGAAGCCGAGGCUCCACUAAUCUCUUUAGUAAAUUAACUUCAAAACUCACAAGGAGAAACAUGUCAUUCAGGUUUAUCAAAAGGCUUCCAACUGAAUAUGAGAGGAACGGGAGAUAUGAGGGCUCAAGUCGCAAUGUAUCUGCUGAGCAAAAAGAUGAAAACAAAGAAGCAAAGCCUCGAUCCCUACGCUUCACCUGGAGCAUGAAAACCACUAGUUCAAUGGAUCCCGGGGACAUGAUGCGGGAAAUCCGCAAAGUGUUGGAUGCCAAUAACUGCGACUAUGAGCAGAGGGAGCGUUUCUUGCUCUUCUGUGUCCAC
rnacentral:sRNA from 1 species